rnacentral:rRNA from 1 species
UACGGGGGGAGCAAGCGUUGUUCGGAUUUACUGGGCGUAAAGGGCGCGUAGGCGGCGUAACAAGUCACUUGUGAAAUCUCCGGGCUUAACCCGGAGCGGCCAAGUGAUACUGUUGUGCUAGAGUGCGGAAGGGGCUACUGGAAUUCUCGGUGUAGCUGUGAAAUGCGUAGAUAUCGAGAGGAACACCUGCGGCGAAGGCGGGUAGCUGGGCCGACACUGACGCUGAGGCGCGAAAGCUAGGGGAGCAAACGGG